rnacentral:rRNA from 1 species
AUUGAACGCUGGCGGCAGGCCUAACACAUGCAAGUCGAACGAGUGGCGGACGGGUGAGUAAUGUCUGGGAAACUGCCUGAUGGAGGGGGAUAACUACUGGAAACGGUAGCUAAUACCGCAUACCAUCGGAUGUGCCCAGAUGGGAUUAGCUAGUAGGUGGGGUAAAGGCUCACCUAGGCGACGAUCCCUAGCUGGUCUGAGAGGAUGACGAGCCAGACGGGAACUGAAACACGGGACAGGAUCCGACGGGAGUCAGCAGUGGGGAAUAGUGCACAAUGGGCGCAAGCCGGAUACAGCGAUGACGCGUGGAUGAAGAAGGCCUUCGGGUUGUAAAGUACUUGAAGCGGGGAGGCGUUACCCGCAGAAGAAGCACCGGCUAACUCCGUGCCAGCAGCCGCGGGAAUAC